UCGCGAAUCUUCCCCAAUGGACGAAAGUCUGAGGGAGCGACGCCGCGUGUGGGACGAAGGCCUUCGGGUCGUAAACCACUUUUGUAUGGGACGAAUUUUGACGGUACCAUACGAAUAAGAAGUUGCUAACUCUGUGCCAGCAGCAGCGGUAAUACAGAGACUUCAAGCGUUGUCCGGAUUUAUUGGGCGUAAAGGGUCCGCAGGCGGCAUGGCGCGUCUGGUGUUAAAUCGUUGGGCUCAACUCAACGGCCGCACCGGAUACGGCCACGCUAGAGGUCGGGAGAGGCACACGGAAUUCUCGGUGUAGUCGUAAUAAGCGUUGAUAUCGAGAAGAACACCAAAGGCGAAGGCAGUGUGCUGGAACGAAUCUGACGCUCAGGGACGAAAGCGUGGGGAGCGA
rnacentral:rRNA from 1 species